GAAUACCUACUAGAAGUCUAACCAGCUUCUUGAGAGUUGUGGAGCCAUCCAUAUAGGUAUUCUCUCCAACUUGUGUGGGGUUUGAAGGUGAGGUCUAGCUUUAUAGCGGAUAAAUUGUAACUGCUCACAAAAUGGCAAACAUG
rfam:Yam spherical virus culture-collection DSMZ:PV-0517, complete genome.